UACGGAGGGAGCUAGCGUUGUUCGGAAUUACUGGGCGUAAAGCGCACGUAGGCGGAUUGUUAAGUGAGGGGUGAAAUCCCAGGGCUCAACCCUGGAACUGCCUUUCAUACUGGCAAUCUCGAGUCCGAGAGAGGUGAGUGGAAUUCCGAGUGUAGAGGUGAAAUUCGUAGAUAUUCGGAGGAACACCAGUGGCGAAGGCGGCUCACUGGCUCGGUACUGACGCUGAGGUGCGAAAGCGUGGGGAGCAAACAGG
rnacentral:rRNA from 1 species